rnacentral:lncRNA from 1 species
GUACGCAUUAUCAUAUGUUUAAGAAAAUUUUAUCUGGUCUCACAGAGGACCCAAAUUAAUGUACACUGCUAGACAGUUUUGUCUGAUUCACGGUCAAGGAGGCUUCACUGUUAGGGAUUUUGGCCUGCUUUUGAUCGUGCAUACUUGUCUUUGAUUUUGGUAUACUUUACUGGGAUAUACGUACUGAGUGGGAGAAAGUACUUGAAGUGUCUUCUUUUAAGUCUACUUCAUACUGAAUUUACGUCCAAUGCACAGAUUGUGAACGGUUUAAUUCUAGCCCAUUCCCGAGCAGAGGUUAAAAUGUCAGUGACAACUGUCUGGCUGAAAAUGUGUGCGUACUAAUCAAUGUACGUGAUUCAAGACAACCAGUGACACUCGAAGUCACAGAACAUACGCAAGAAACAUCAGACAUCAACUUUUGUUCGACAAACUCGGGAACCAACGACGCUCAAAAUAGAAUGCCCUACAAGUGUAGUACAUUAGUCCCUCAAACCUUGCUUCUAAGACAGGUAUCCCAGCAAGAGCACUAUACGAAUUCAGUAUGCGCUGACCUGUGUUAGACGAACAGACACAGACUCAACUCUUCCUGCCACACUUUCGGAAGGGUUCCGUUAUACAACUGUAUGACUGUGAUGUAAUCUUUGGCCGCCGCCCUAAUUCCUGGGAACUAUAUUAAGCUCCAAUGCGGCAUUCUAAUCAACUUACUUAGUUCUAGUAGUGUGUUUACUUACUGUACAACAUGGUAUCAGAGCGGAUGGUUUCAACUGAUACCCCUUAGCGCUCGAGUGGCCACUGUCCUGUUCAGGGUGUCCGCGUAUUCGUGGCGGCUGAAGUAGAAUCAGAGCCAGCUUCUAUUGUAGCGCAACAACCAAUCGUGUCCUUACAUUCUUGAGUAUCUACGAGCAUGACAAGGCGUCAACCCAGAAAGAAAUUAAGUCUUGGCAACAGACAGCGGCUCGCAGACUACACUGAGCCAAGGAGGCAGAUCACUAAUCAGAGGAGCAGCCAUCAACGAUGUCUCUAUUCCUAAAUCUAGCAGAUUAGAGGGCCAAAGUAACCACGCUGUGUGGUCCUUUCGAAUGCAGAGCAUGUUUGAGAAACAUAACCUUAGGAGGCACGUGAGCAAGGAGGCCAGCGUACUCAUUUCCGAUGAUGAUCUGAAGCUCCGGAGGAAACUGCUUCACGUAAUCUUUGAAU